rnacentral:rRNA from 1 species
UACGGAGGGUGCAAGCGUUAUCCGGAUUCACUGGGUUUAAAGGGAGCGUAGGAGGGCAGGUAAGUCAGUGGUGAAAUCUUCGAGCUUAACUCGGAAACUGCCGUUGAUACUAUCUGUCUUGAAUACCGUGGAGAUGAGCGGAAUAUGUCAUGUAGCGGUGAAAUGCUUAGAUAUGACAUAGAACACCAAUUGCGAAGGCAGCUCGUUACACGAAUAUUGACGCUGAGGCUCGAAAGCGUGGGGAGCAAACAGG